rnacentral:rRNA from 1 species
UCUUGACAUCCUCUGACCCCCCUGGAGACAGGGGUUCCCUUCGGGGCAGAGUGACAGGUGGUGCAUGGUUGUCGUCAGCUCGUGUCGUGAGAUGUUGGGUUAAGUCCCGCAACGAGCGCAACCCUUAUGACUAGUUGCCAGCAUUGAGUUGGGCACUCUAGUGAGACUGCCGGUGACAAACCGGAGGAAGGUGGGGAUGACGUCAAAUCAUCAUGCCCCUUAUGAUUUGGGCUACACACGUGCUACAAUGGACAGGUACAAAGGGCAGCGAGACCGCGAGGUUGAGCGAAUCCCAUAAAACUGUUCUCAGUUCGGAUUGGAGUCUGCAACUCGACUCCAUGAAGCUGGAAUCGCUAGUAAUCGUGGAUCAGAAUGCCACGGUGAAUACGUUCCCGGGUCUUGUACACACCGCCCGUCACACCACGAAAGUCAGUAACACCUGAAGCCGGUGGGCCAACCCUUCUGGGAGGCAGCCGUCGAAGGUGGGACCGAUGAUUGGGGUGAAGUCGUAACAAGGUAGCCGUAUCGGAAGGUGCGGCUGGAUCACCUCCUUUCUAAGGA